rnacentral:rRNA from 1 species
UACGAGUGCCCCAAGCGUUAUCCGGAAUUAUUGGGCGUAAAGGGUGUGUUGGUGGUUUUGUUAGUCUUCUGUUAAAGCUCCCGGCUUAACCGGGAAAGUGCAGAGGAAACGGCAAGACUAGAGGAUGUGAGAGGUUUAUGGAACUCAUGGUGUAGGGGUGAAAUCCGUUGAUAUCAUGGGGAACACCAAAAGCGAAGGCAAUAAACUGGCGCAUUCCUGACACUGAAACACGAAAGCGUGGGUAGCGAAUGGG